GCCGGGUGUGGUGGUGUGUGCCUAUAGUCCCAGCUACUUGGGAGGCUGAGGUGGGAGGAUCGCUUGAGCCCAGGAGUUCUGGGCUGUAGUGCGCUAUGCCAAUCAGCUGUCUGCAGUACGUUUGGCAUCAAUAAAGUGACCACCCCGGAGCGGGGAACCACCAGGUUGCCUAAGGAGGGGUGAACCGGCCCAGGCUGGAAAUGGAGCAGGUCAGAAUUCCCAUGCUGAUCAGUAGUGGGAUCGCACCUGUCAAUAGCCACUUCAUUCCAGCCUGGGCAACAUCUCAAGACCCUGUCUCU
rnacentral:SRP_RNA from 1 species